rnacentral:rRNA from 1 species
CACGUAGGGUGCGAGCGUUGUCCGGAAUUAUUGGGCGUAAAGAGCUCGUAGGCGGUGUGUCGCGUCGGCCGUGAAAACCUGCAGCUUAACUGUGGGCGUGCGGUCGAUACGGGCAUCACUGGAGUUCGGCAGGGGAGACUGGAAUUCCUGGUGUAGCGGUGAAAUGCGCAGAUAUCGAGAGGAACACCUGCGGCGAAGGCGGGUUGCUGGGCUGACACUGACGCUGAACUGCGAAAGCUAGGGGAGCGAACGGG